GUUGGAAUAAAGGGAGUGAGUUGAACAGAGGUAGGGAAUACGUUCUGAAGAGGGAGUGAGCAGUUCACUUCUGGCCUUCCAGGCUGUGAAGCUGUCAGUGAUUUUUGAAGAAUAUGAACCUCCAGAGUAAGAAGUAUAUAGAAUUGAUGUUGCUUUCCCAAGAAUUGUUUCACAACAUAUCCAUAGGGGAACACUCCCUGCAUUUGCCAGCAAGGCUGAUGGCCAUGUGGACUCCACACAAUGGAUUAAUGAACUGAAUCUAGACUGAUGCUGAACGGACCCGGCUACAACAUGGAGAGAAAGCUCUGGACACUGGCCCUGCCGUUUCCAGCCUUACUAAACCCGCAGCUGCCCCUUUCCAGGACUGGGUUAAGGGAACUGAGACGUUACACCCCUAGGAGUAUAACUCCACAUUAAUAAAGACUAUUCAUUCUCCUGUGGGGGCUUCCGAAAAUGCUUAUUUCAGAGGUACCUCAAGAACUCCAUGUCCACUCGUGUUGCAGGAAUCUGGCCCACUCAUCCCUCUGGUAACAUACUGAACAGGAUGUUAAGAUAAUUUCAAAAAAUAUAAA